CAGCCGCCACGGUAACACGGAGGGUACAAGCGUUAAUCGGAAUUACUGGGCGUAAAGCGCACGCAGGCGGUCUGACAAGUCAGAUGUGAAAUCCCCGGGCUUAACCUGGGAACUGCAUUUGAAACUGUCAGGCUGGAGUCUUGUAGAGGGGGGUGGAAUUCCAGGUGUAGCGGUGAAAUGCGUAGAGAUCUGGAGGAAUACCGGUGGCGAAGGCGGCCCCCUGGACAAAGACUGACGCUCAGGUGCGAAAGCGUGGGGAGCAAACAGGAUUAGAUACCCGCGUAGUCCCUGUCUCUUAUAC
rnacentral:rRNA from 1 species